rnacentral:rRNA from 1 species
GCGAACGCUGGCGGCAGGCUUAACACAUGCAAGUCGAACGGGCACCUUCGGGUGUCAGUGGCAGACGGGAGAGUAACACGUGGGAACGCGCCCUUUGGUUCGGAAUAACUCAGGGAAACUUGAGCUAAUACCGGAUAAGCCCUUACGGGGAAAGAUUUAUCGCCAAAGGAACGGCCCGCGUCCGAUUAGCUAGUUGGUGAGGUAACGGCUCACCAAGGCGACGAUCGGUAGCUGGUCUGAGAGGAUGACCAGCCUCACUGGGACUGAGACACGGCCCAGACUCCUACGGGAGGCAGCAGUGGGGAAUAUUGGACAAUGGGCGCAAGCCUGAUCCAGCCAUGCCGCGUGAGUGAUGAAGGCCUUAGGGUUGUAAAGCUCUUUUAGCAGGGAAGAUAAUGACGGUACCUGCAGAAAAAGCCCCGGCUAACUUCGU